ensembl:snRNA U6 U6 spliceosomal RNA
GUGCUUGCUUUGGCAGUACACAUACUAAAAUUACAAUAAAUCAGUGAUUAGCCUGGCCCCUUCACAAAAAUGAGACACAAAUAAAUGAAGCAUUCCAUACUGUG